UUUUUAGGGCUGCACCCUCAGCAUAGGGAGGUUCCCAGGCCAGGGGUCCAAUCGGACCUACAGCUGCGGGACUAUACCACAGCCACAGCAAUGCCAGAUCCGAGUCGCGUCUGCAACCUACACCACAGCUCACAGCAACAUCGGAUCCUUAACCCACUGAGUGAGGACGGGGAUGGAACCCGCAACCUCAUGGUUUCUUGUCCGAUUUGUUUCCACUGAGCCACCACAAGAACUCCCACCUUUUUUUUUUUUUUUUUGAUGGGUGCACCCGAGGGAUAUGGAAGCCCCCAGCCAGGGAUGGAACCCAAGCCUCAGCUACAACCUAUGCCAGAGGUGCGGCAAUGCUGGAUCCUUUCACUCACUGUGCCAGGCUGGGGACUGAACCAGCGCCUCUGCAGUAACUGGAGCUGCUACAGGUGGAUUCUGAACCCACUGCACCACAGUGGGAGUGCCCCGUUGCAUACAUUUCAAAAGUAAAAUGGACAGUUCAUGAACGUGCCUUACUGUCACUUGCCUUUUAAAACACAGAAGACCUGCCUUCAAGGCUUCAGGGGCUGGCGUCUCGUCGGGUGAGACUGCACCGAGCUGCCCUUCCCUCAGGGGGGCUCUGCCCCGUGACCACCACCCAGAGGGGAGCUGUCAGUCGGCUGGAUGGUCAUCUGGGGGAGGACAGGACAGACCACUGGCCACUCAAGGGAGCAGCAGGUGGGUCUGACCAAGAGACAGGUUUGCCUGAUGACACACGGAGACUCUGAGACCAGUUUAAGGUACGCCACGAGCACAAGGUCUAAAUCACAGAUGCUGGAGUUCCUGUCGUGGCACAGGGGUUAACGAAUCCGACUAGGAACCCUGAGGUUGCAGGUUCGAUCCCUGGCCUCGCUCAGUGGGUGAAGGAUCCAGCGUCGCCGUGACCUGUGGUGUAGGUCCCAGAUGCAGCUCGGAUUCCGCGUUGCUGUGGCUCUGGCACAGGCCGGCGGCUAGAGCACUGAUUAGACCCCUAGCCUGGGAACCUCCAUAUGCCCUGGGUGUGGCUCUAGAAAAAGCAAUCAAUCAUCAAUCAAUCAAUCAAUCACAGAUGCCGACAAAGGUCUGCACAGGCCUCCGAAGGAGAGCAGGGCUGAGAGCACUGCAGUCUGUGGGCCGGAGCGAGGACUCGGUGUGAUCCCGAGCUGGUUACCCUUGCCACGGAUCUGUUUUUGUUUGUUUGUUUUGCUUUUCAGGGCUGCACCUGCUGCAUAUGGAAGUUCCCAGGCUAGGGAUCGAAAUGGAGCUGCAGCUCCCGGCCUACGUCACAGCCACAGCCACGCGGGAUCUGAGCUGCCCUUCGACCUACACCACAGCUCGUGGCAACACCGAAUCCUUAAUCCACUGAGCCAGGCCAGGGAUGGAACUCGCCUCCUCAUGGAUGCUCGUCAUCCCGCUGAGCCCCCACGGGAAUUCCAUGGAUCAGCUUUUACAAAAGAAAAGGCACGGCAGAUGAGACAAGUGUGGAGCUAUGGAUGCCACACACACACCAGGGAGAAGGAUGUUGUGGGUAACAGUCAGUUAGGGUCGCGCAACCAGGCGGGUGAGGCAAGAGGCAACCACCGUGUUAUCGGGUGAAGGGGGCGGAGGCUUUAUCUGGGCUUGUUCUUGAGGCUGCCCCUUUGUGGGGGGGGGGAGUCUGUACAUUUCAGUUUCCUGAUCUAAACUAACGGGUAACAGCUACCUCGCAAGGCAGUCCUGGGGAUUACGGCUGAUGUGCACGAAACAACCCUGGCCUGGCCACACAUCAUUUCCGAGGCUUUGCUGUUAGGGGGAGGGGAGGCAUCCUCUCCUGACAGCAAAACAUAACCGUUUCACACAGGAAACACCUCUGCUUGGACAAGUUAAGAAAGACUUCAUAGGUAAUCCUUUAAUUACAGACAUUCUAGUUUAAUCUCAAAAUGAGAAACCGGACCAUUAAAAUUGCAUGGGAAGAGCCUCAUGAGUCACAGUACACGGUAAAUACAGCACAAUACAAACUGUCAUCCGGGGUGUUCCUGCUGUGGCACAACAGGACUGGCAGCUCCUCUGGAGCACUGGGACACAGGUUCGAUCCCCAGCACAGCACAGUGGGUUAAGGAUCCCUCACUGGCCGCAGCUGUGGUGCAGGACGCAACUGUAAGUCGGAUCUGAUCCUUGGACCGGGAGCUCCAUAUGCCACCAGGCGGGCAAAAAAAAAAAAAAAAAAAGGAACAAAAAUUGUUAUCCAGAAUACAACUUCUUUUUCAGUUAAUUAAAAAAAAUAGAUGUGGGAGUUCCCACUGUGGCACAGUGGAAACAAAUCCGACUAGUAUCCAUGAAAAUGGGGGUUUGAUCCCUGGCCUCACUCAGUGGGUCGGUUAUCCGGCGUUGCUGUGGCUGUGGUGCAGCUCACAGCAACGCCAGAUCCUUAACCCACUGAGCGAGGCCAGGGAUCGAACCUGCAACCUCAUGCUUACUAGUCAGAUUCAUUUCCUCUGCGCCACAACGGGGAACUCCACAUCAUGUGAUCAUUUUAAAUAGAGAGACAAAGUCUCACCUUAGAUAAAUCCCACCUUGUCCCCUUACCCCAGCCUCACUGCGCUUUAGUCACUGAUUCAACAAACACCUGUGGAGCAUUCACUCCAGCCCAGGACCAAUGCAGGCAUCUCAGGCCGGAGCCCUGGAGAGGCACCAUCAGCAUCCUGUCAGGCGGGUGGUCAGCCCAGGAGCCAGUGCGGAGGCCUGACCUCAAGUUCUAGGUCUGGGACUGAGCACAGAGCACCCAUCCUGUGUGAGCGAGGGGCACUCAAGAACAAAAAGGGCUGAGAGAGACCCAGUGCACUGACAGAACGAACGAAAACCAAGAAAAUAAACU
rnacentral:lncRNA from 1 species